CUCUUCUUGUGUGGAACCUAGGAUUCGAGCUGUGGGCAGAAAGUGCUCUAGCAGGGACUCUGGCUUUGAAAGAGUCCCUUUUUCCUCCUUUUCUUCCUUUACACCCAAUAAAACCUGUCUUACCCUUCAAACUGUCUGCACGCCUGAAUUUUUAUGGCUGUGGGACAAAGGACCUCAUCUUUAGCUGAACUAAGGAAAAAGUCCUGCAACAUUUUUGGCGUGCAACGUAGGGACUUGAGAAGCGGUCAUCAAACUCCAAGUGGCCAUGCAACCAGAGCCUCUGAUGAUGGCCCCUUCUGCUGGGAACCUUACACAGGCCUCUGAGGGAGCUUUAACUGCCGUUUCCCCAAAACAGCACCCCUGUCAGCAGGAAGCAGUUAAGAUCGGUCUUCAUACUUAUCCUUAUUCUAAGGGCAGUUGGAUGUGCUUCUUUAGAGGGGCGAAUGAGGCAGCCAAGUGGGAGGGGGUCCCUGGAAAAACUCCAACCAGCCUGCACACUGGGGUGGAGCCUUGGGAAGUUCAUGCCAUUUGCAACAGGGAGGUGCCUGACUCCUUCUCUCUGUGUGGAACCUGGGAUUCAAGUUGCGAGCGGGAAGCGCUCUAGCAGGGACUCUGGCCUUGUGAGAGUCCCUGUUUCCCCCCUUUCUUUCUUUACAUCCAAUAAAACCCUGUCUUACCAUUCAAAUCUGAAUUUUUGUGGCCGUGGACAGAGGACCCCAUCUUUAGCUGAAAUAAGGAAAAGUCCUGCAACAACAUCAAAUACAAUAAUUAAGGCAAAGUGGAUCAAAGGCUUCGUGUAAUAGCUAAAACCAUAAAACUGUUAGACGGAAACAGGGGUAAAUCCCCGUGGCCUUAGAUUUGGCAAUAGUUUCUUACAAGUGAUACCAAAAGCACAAGCAACAAAAGAAAAACAGAUAAAUUGAACUUUAUCAAAAUUGUGAGUUUUUGUUCUUUAAAGGACACUAUCAAGAAAGUGAAAAUACAACCCACACAAUGGAAGAAGAGGUUUAUAAAGUAUACACUGGGUAAUGGCCUAGCACCCAGAAUCUAUAAAGUACCCACAACUCAAUAACAAAAGGACAAAAAUCGGAAAAGGGUCAAAGUCAACAUUUCUCAAAAGAAGAUGCACAAAUGGCCAACAGGCACAAGAAAAGAUUCUCAAUGUUUUAGUCAUUAGGAAAUACAAAUCAAAACCACAAUGAGAUACAACUUUACGUAUACUACAAUGCCUAUAAUCAAAAAGAUCAUAAGAAGCACUGGCGAGCCCGUAGAGACAUUUGAACCCUAAAACACUGCUGGCAGGAAUAUAAAAUGGUGCAGUCACUUUGGAAAACAGUCCAGCAGUUUCUCAAAGAGUUAAAUCUAGAAUUAUCAUAUGGCUUAGCAAUUCCUAGGUAUAUACCUAAGAAAAAUGAAAGCAUAUGUCUUCACAAAAACUUGUACUCAAAUGUUUAUAGCAGUAUUACUCAUAGUAUCUAAAAGUAGAAACAACCCAAAUGUUCAACGUAAUGAAUGGAUAAAUAAAAUAUGGUAUAACCAUACAAUCAAAUAUCAUUUGGCUGUAAAAAGGAAUGAAGUACUGAGGCAUAGUACAAGAUGGAUGAACCUUAAAAUUACUAUGUUUCACGAAAGAAGCCAGUCACAGAAAAUCACAUAUAUGGUGCCUUUCAUGUGAAGUGUCAAGAAUAAGCCAAUCUACAGUCAGAAAAUAGAUUAGUAGUCACUGCUAGUGGCUGGAGGGCAGGGGGAAUGGAGAGUGACUGCUAAUGGGUAUGAGCUUUCUUUAUGGGGCGAUGAAAAUGUUACAAAAUUGGUGGUGCUGAUGAUUGUAAAACUCUGUAAAUAUACUAAAAAACAUAGAAUCAUAGACUAUAAAUGAAUAAAUUGUUUGGUAUGUGAAUCAUAUAUCAAAGCACAUGUUCUGAUCAAAGUGGAAAACAAUGAAAUAAAAAGUUCCCUGGAGCAGAGUUCUGGAGCGGUGGGAGUUAAACAGGAAUUGCUGCCUCUAAUACUGGGAUGGGAUCUACAUUUUCAAGGGACGGUUCCUGUUGCACCUGCUUUUUAAAUGAAGCUGACUCUAGCAUAAUAUCAGCUGCUUGGAAAAGAACACCAGUCUUCCAUCAAAUAAGCUGUCUUCGUUGCCUGGCACAUUGACUUGUCAAGUUCCAAAUGUCAUGACCUGUGAAAACUUGAGACAACUACAAAGCAAAUUAAUGCCGGAGAAGUGGGCCCUAGGACUUCAGCAAUUUGAGAUUCUGAUUACAAAAGACUGGAAAAGGAAAGACCCUUGGUAGUGCUCAACAUGAACCAAAACACAAAUAGACUCAGCAUUUUUAAUGUUUUAAUGACUAGAAAUGGAAUCUUCACAUAUUGUAAAAAGUGAACAGAAAAGAAACAUUAAAUAAGAAUAAUGCAUAAUCUGCGAUUUUUUUUUUUGAGACAGAGUUUUGCUCUUGUUGCCCAGGCUGGAAUGCAAUGGCGCGAUCUUGGCUCACCACAACCUCCACCUCCCAGGUUCAAGCAAUUCUCCUGCCUCAGCCUUCCCAAGCAGCUGGAAUUAUAGGCAUGCGCCACCAAGCCCGGCUAAUUUUGUAUUUUUAGUAGAGAUGGGUUUUCUCCAUGUGGGUCAGGCUGGUCUCAAACUCCCGACCUCAGGUGAUCCACCCACCUCGGCCUCCCAAAGUGCUGGGAUUACAGGCGUGAGCCACCGCACCUGGCCUAAUCUGGAAUUUUUAUUGUUUUGUGUUAAUCUGUAUUUUCAAUGUUUGUAUAAUGUCCAUGUGUUUGUAGUAAUAAAAUAAUAAGGCAUUUAAAACUAUUUACUUUCAACCUUCACAUCAUUUUGUACUUAUGUUACUUUGUAAGCAACUAUGUCAUUAAAUUCUGGAUUCUGAAUCCAGUAGGCCCUUUCAGGUGGACCAGAAACCACAGUGAGAGAAGGU
rnacentral:lncRNA from 1 species